CUUUUUUUUUUUGGUCAAAAUAAUUUAAUAAGUAAUGAUGAUGUGUCUUAAAGAAAUUGUUACUUCGCGGGUUAUAAGUGAAACGCCCUGAAACCGUCCCUGUUUUCACGACCCCCCCCCCCUCCUUCCCCACAGCAACCCGCUAAGAGUUGGAGUGUCAGUGCAUAUCUGGGUGGACUUGGUGUGUCCGUUUGCGCAACCUCAGCCGCACACAAGUAACAUGGUGGCCCCGGUAAAGGCCUCCCGGUGUCGGUGGUCAUGUGAACGAUUAUAAUUCACUGGCUAAAAAUUAUUAUAAAAAUCAUUUUUUUAUUCUCAAAUAUUUGUUGAAUCCAUUAAUGUAAAAUUUUCCCUUAGUACAUAUAAAAUUGUUUUUUUCCAUCUCUGCCUCCCUCCAAGUCGACAAAAAGAGCAAGAUAGAAAGAAAGAGAGAGAGAGAAAUCCGAAAAGAGAAGGGGAAGUAAGACGAGUAUAUCGGGGAAGCUCUCUCUGUAUCGAAAUUGGGGGAAGCAAAAGAGGGACAGAGCGAUUUGGUAUGCGAGUGAAUGGAAUGGUGAAAACAGUGCAGUUACGGGGUUAACGUAGUGAUAUAAGGAUAAAAAACGAUAAGAACUCGUUAAAAAAAUUUUUCAACAAAAAAAAAAAAAGAAACAAAAAUAAGAAAAACUGUGCAUUUUAAGUGAUUCCACGAGUUAGUGUUAUAAAGAAUUGUAUGAGAUAGGAAAAAAAGAAUUCGCAACAAUGGGUGUGGAGUUGAACAUCUAGAUAUAUAUAUAUAUAUAUAUACAUACUCUGCCUCUGUGUUUCGUCAAGGAUAAAAAAAAGAGAGAAAAUACACUAUAAUAUACUAUUAACCAAAUGACGACAUCAUCAUCAUCAGAAGGUUAAGAAAGUCUUGACCCUUGACUUUUUCCGCGCACGAUUAUACCACAAAAAAAAGGGGAAUCAUACCUACUUUUUUUUGUUGGCUCAUAUAUAAAAGAAAAAAAUCCCCUUUUACGGAUAAUAAGUGAACAAUUCUUUUUUUAACAAGAAGAAGUUAACCCGCAAGAUUCAGUCGUGCAAUCAAAGGUUAGUCCAAUUUCUGUGCUUAUAAAAAAAUCGAAUGACCUAUUGCCUUAUAGAAAGUCUCAAAAUAAUUGCAAAAACCAAUGUUCUUUCUCCAUUUCUUCAUAUAUAUGUACAUAUAUGAAAUAUAAUAAAUUUUUUCGAUAAUUUUUUUCUUUUUCUAAAAACACAGAAAAACAAACAAAAAAAAUAAAAUAAUAAUAAUAAUAAUAAUAUGAGUCAAUUUUCGAUAGAGCUCCAAAUGAGAAAUGAGAAGAUCCCAAAAGGGGGUGGACACACUGCUCUUUUGCCUACUCACCAAUGAUAAAUAUAUAUAGUUAUUAUAAUUGUGGAUGUAUAAAAAGGUAGUUAGGCAAGCAAAUUAAGAAAUAAUUAUCAUAAAUAAAGAAAUAAAAAAUAGAAGUGGAAGGAGAAAAUAGAGAAAAAAAGAAACAAGGGAAUAAUUUGAAGAACCCGCUGUUAGACGAUAAAAAGAAGAGAGAAUGCGAAAACAUCACUACACCCUGUGAUCAUGACUUGUUAUAUGGAUGUGGCGAGUGGUGGUCAAACAACGAAGAGAGCCUCUCACGAAAAUUGUGAGGUCACGAAAAAAGUGUCGCGUAUCGGUUCGACAAUUGCGGGUUAUUAUUUAAAUGUGAAUUUUAUUAAUCAAAGUUUGACAAAGAAGAAAAUUGAAGCGCAUUGUCAAACGAUAGUGCCAUGCGUGGUGAUUAAAAUCAUCAUAAUUGGUGACAAUUUUUUAAAAAAACGUAUUAUUAAACGUUCAAGAAGAAAUAUAUCAUCGCGCGUUAUUUCAAUAUUUCGUGCGAAUAAAACAUCGUCGUUGUCAUUGACACGACCUAACCUCAUCAAUAGUUCAUUGGCGCAUUCAAAUAAGCAACCCUGUCGCGGUGUGCGUUUACUUGGUGGCGGAUGACUCGCCCGGGACAAAAUGUUGUAGUGUUAGACGUUGCACUAGUGGAGUUAGCACGAGUUCAUCAUCGAGAUAAAGCAGGAACAAUUUAUAACAGAAGAAAUCGUAAUUGUUAUUGUUGUUGUUGUUCUUCUUCUUCUUCUUCUUCUUCUUGUUCUUCUUGUUCUUCUUGUUUUUGUAGUUUUGGAAACGUAGACGCGACAGUGAUUAAUCAUCAUCAUCGACGUGGUCAUCGUUGGCAAUUGUGGUGUGCCGGUCUUUUACACGGCGGACAACCGGAAGCAUCCGGUUAUCAACUUACUCGGCUAUCAAGGCCGAGACAGUGAUGGCGGACCUUCCAGAUUUAUCUUAUCUCAAUCCCGAGGAAAGGCGCAUCAUUGAGGAUGUCAUCAUGCGGCAAAAGCAAGAGGAAGAGCACCAAAAUGAGAUUAUGAGACGGAAACAAGAUGAGGUGCAAGUCCUGGAGGAAACAAUAAGAGCGCGUUCGGAAAAACAUAAGAAGGCUGGAAUAGAGCUAGAUGCAACGUGUCAUAUAUGUUUAAAAACCAAGUUUGCCGAUGGUGUAGGGCACAUCUGCAAUUACUGCAGCAUCCGGUGCUGCGCACGCUGCGGUGGAAAGGUCUCUCUUCGCUCGAAUAAGGUGAUAUGGGUAUGCAUUCUCUGUCGAAAAAAACAGGAACUGUUGUCGAAGACCGGACAAUGGAUGACAAAGACAAAUCUUGGUCCGGCGGACAAUGCAAUGUUGAGGAGAAUGCAAGAGGACAUGCAGGGUGGAGUUUCCCCAGGGCAUCAAGAACAAAUUCAGGAUAAGAGACCAAAAUUGGAAAGAGCGCACAGUGCAGCGGAAAAAGAAAAUCUGCCAUUACUUCAACGGAGUGCAAGUGUACUCAGGAAACAAUAUUCGCAACAGGAAACGGCAACAGGGAGGCGUAUGUCUACGAGUGACAGUGGGGUGGAAAUGGCAGUUUCACCUCAUUCGAGAAGCUUACCGACUCCACACGUAGUCAGUUCUUUUCAAUCGCAACAGACACCAAGGCAUCCUGGUGCUUUUCCUGAGGACGAUCCUAGUCUCUAUCAUGGCGAACUCGACGGACUCAUGAGGGAAUAUCAGAUGCAACAAAAUAUCUAUCAAAUGGAACAAAAUUCUGAUGUGGCAAUGGCCUAUGGUCAUCCGGUGGAGCAGAGUUCUCGACCUCCGAUUCAUCCGACACAUUUAGUUCAUUCGACACAAGGUGCACAUCCCUCUCAACCAUGUCCACCAUCAGCUGGUGUUCAAGGUCCUCUUCAGCAACAAAGAAGCUUCAGCAGCAGUGAGGAGGAGAGAAGUACCCCCGAGUGUGCUAGCGACGAGCCGGACGGGUCUGAAAAGGGAAAGGAAUACUAUGAUCUGACCGGAAGUCCAACAACGAUGACCAGUGGAUCGUUUAGAACUGCUUCACACAAUGGACAUCAUAGCACAGGUCCAAUGACCAUUGAAUAUAAUGGUCAUCAUCCACCGCGAGAACCGCGAAAAGAAGAAAACACCUUCGUAAGAAGAAGCUUCAGAAGAAGCGACGAGUGGUGCGCCGAUAGUAGGAGGUUCACUGAGAGGAGGGGGAAAAAAACAGUAAGAUUUCAUGGAGGGACCAAUGUUGGUGACUCUCAGGAAGAAUGGUCAUGGGAAGUCGAUCGGCAAGGUAGUCAAGAUAGUGCAACCAAAGAUUCUGGAAUAGAUACAUCCAGCACCUUUACAAGCAGUGAAGACAGCAACAGGGGCGACUUGCCCAAGCACUCUCUAUCGUGGCAAGUAAGCUCUGAUGGCCAAAAGAUGAUCGGUCACAUGAUUCUACUGAAGUCGUCAGGUGCCGGGAGUAGUAGUAGUAGUAUAUUGGGUCUUAAAGUGGUAGGAGGAAAACUCUUGGAAGAUGGAUCUAUGGGCGCCUUGAUUGAAAAAGUGAAGAAAGGAAGCACUGCCGACGUCGAGGGCCAACUUAGACCUGGUGACGAAGUAAUCGAGUGGAAUGGAAGGUGCCUCCAGGGCAAGAGUUUUCAGGAGGUUUACGAUAUUAUAGCCGCGUCAAGGCAGGAACCUCAGGUAGAACUUGUAGUCUCGAGGAACUUGCUUUCGUCAACAACUUUACCCGGGAGGUCAACGACUGCAUCAACGACCACCCCUGUUGCCUCCAGGCGUGCUGUUGCUCAGUCACAGUGGAGACAGAAACACGAAUUCACAAGCGGUACACAACAACUUCAUCACAAAGGUCUUAAGAAAUAUAUUCUUUGGGAGCUUUAUGACACGAGGCGUGAGAAACCUUCGGUUUUGGUAACGUCACCGGGCUCGCCGGAUGUUCACACACAAGGAAGAUCGAGACACAUACGACAAACGGGAAACGUUAAUUUUGGAGGACGCAUCCAGGUGAAAUUGAGUUUUGAUCCUAGUGCUCUUCAAUUGAUUGUCACCUUAGUGUGCGCGACUGGUCUCCCUCCAAGAAGCAAUGGCCAAGCCAGAAGUCCAUAUGCCAAAAUAUUUUUACUUCCUGAUAGAAGUGAAAAGUCCAAAAAGCGAACGAAACCCUUGGCAAAUACAAAUGACCCAAGGUGGGACCAAACUUUCGUUUAUAAUGGAAUCAGAUGGUCGGAGUUAAGACAGCGUGCUCUAGAAAUUACAGUUUGGGAUUAUGGUAGAUACGGUGCAAAUGAUUUCAUUGGAGAAGCAGUUAUAGGAUUAGCUUCUUCUUCUCUCACCGAUGAGUUGGAGUGGCAUUAUUUGACUGCACAUGAAGAACAUCGACACGCAAGUCAUUAUCAAGACUUUGUCGACGAUGUGACGACGCCAGGCGAUUGCCAUCUUAGUCCACCGUUAACAACCUCAAGACUUAGUGAUUCAGAUACUUCCGAGUGCGAUAUCACGGACUGCGAUGUUUCUAGGGAACAAAGAAGAACGGCUGACGGUGCCAGUAUAAGUAGUAUCGGCAGCUCUUCUAGGUUUCAUAAUAUGCCGUCAAAUUAUAAGCGCCACUAUUCUAGUCCUCCACCUGAAAAGGAACUUUGUGUGGACGGUGAACAUCGAAGUCGAAGGGAUAUGUCACCGCAGGGUCGUAAAAGAGCAGCGCUUAUGAGCUCUAGAGACCAUUCCGCUUCCAUUUCCGGUUAUCAACACUAUCGUAAGGAUGAUUCACAUCGUGCCACAUUAAGCCACAGGUCCCAUAGCGCAGCGCCGAUGGAUUCUCCGAGUAGUCAUUAUCGGGGAAGGUCGCAAAGUCCCACAGGUCAUCGUUCUCUUUCACCUCCUGAUCAUAGAUCUGUUCCCUAUUCACACGGAUAUAUUCCAACUAGAUUUACAUCCAGAUCAGCCACAGCAACUCCAACUGGAUCUCCGAAGAAACGUUAUUUGCCUCAGAUACCUCCAAAUUUGCAAGCAGCUUUAAAGGAUCGAGGAGUCGGAGAUUUCAGUGAUAGAGCCAGAUUCAUUAAACAUCGCAGUAGACAAAUGCACACAUAUCGAAAUUCCAGUAUGGGAAGUUGGGAGAGACAAAUAACUGGUCUCUCUGAUUCGGAUCUUCCUUCAAUAGGUUACGAUCCACACUCAUUGUCACACAGUCAUCUUCAUAGAUUGCAUAGAUCACGAAGAGAUCGCUUGAGUCCUGAUAAAGAUGUACUUGGUGAUCUUGGCGAUUCUGAUAUGGAGAGUAUAGCCUCUGUCACGAGUAGUGCCUUCAGCACACAAUCAGAGCGACCACGUGGUUCCAGAGGAUUGAUACCGACAGUUAAAAACGUUUUAAUACCCGGUGUCAUAUCCCCAGUACCCCCACCCCCUAGGCGCAAUAGGCGCAAGCACAGACUUAGGGUACCCUGCAGCGAAUGUCAUUGCCCAAACAACAAUCCCAUCAAACCAAAAAACAACCCAAGCAAGCAUCACCUUCCCUCGCACCCCCUUAUACGGAGCAAAUCCGCAGUUGUACGCUCGCUAUAUAGAAAAAUACGUACACCCUUCACAAGAUCGCAAACUGUCGAUGAAAAUAUGUUGAGAUAUUACAGUCCAGCAACAAGCGAAUACAGUGUUUGCGAAGGUCUCAUACUUAAACCAGAAAGCCUUACUGGUAAUGCAACGAAACGCAUACCGGAAAUUUACAUCGAAGACUGCCUCCAGGUCAAUUUUAACGAUCGACUUGUUAAUAAAUUUCGCUCACGAUAUUUCCCUUCUUAUGGUUAUGAUUUUGGUUCACAUCGACGAUCACGAAGUUGGCAAGAUCGUUCCACAAGAAGUCGAAAAACAACAAGAUAUUUAAAUUUUCUCGAUAGUCUAAAUAAAGGCUCAAUUGAUUUUGGUUACAGAAGAUUUGAUCAUAGAAAUAGACAACAAAGAUCUUUUUUACUCUCUAGAGCUAAAAGUUUUGACAAUGAAGUCUUGCAAAAUUCAAGAUUAAUUGUUAAUAAUGACGAUAGUCAAAUAGAACGCGUCUCAAGAAGAGCAAAAAGUUUUGAUUAUGAUGUAUUAUCAAGUAAUAUAUUCAGUGACGAUAGUCUCAGAACUGCCAGGGAGAAAGUGAAGAAAAACCUUUCUCUCAAUGAUUCCUACGGUGAUAGAAUUCCUGCUUUGAAAGAUCAAAGCAAAUCCUAUUAUGAUUCUAAUGGUGAUAAUAAAGCUCGUAUGAAACAAUUGGCCAUUGAACAAAUAGCUUAUGAUCAAUUCACUGCUAAUCAAGAACAACAAAGACUGCUUUAUGGUUAUGAUUCCGAAUUGAGCGCUGGUGAAACUGAAAUUUAUCUUCCCAUUAAAGAUAAAAAUCGUUUUUCUACAAUUCCUUUUGCAAAUAGACAUAGUCGUCAAUUUGGUAAAGAGGACGCUGGUAAAAGAAAAUACACAAAUGCAAUAUAUCAGGAUAUUGAUUUUAAGCGUCGAGAAAAGUCGCCUGACAAGAGAACAAGUUUGAGAGACGAUCUUUAUAGUCCUCUCGACUCAAAUGAUCAUAUAUAUUGUAGUAUAGAUGAAGUUAUGUUACCCUAUUGUAAUUAUGACUAUAAACCUGAUCCAUGUGAUAGUUUCUUAUGGGAGAAAGCGUCUCUAGAGAAUCUUUAUUACGGUCAAUCACCUGAUUUUGAAUUCGAGAGAAAAAAAAAUCGUCGCCGACGAACUAAAAGUACAGACUCUUAUUUAGAAGACAAUUAUGAUAAUUGGGAGCCAUAUUAUUAUGAUAAUUUUUGUUAUCAUGACAAAAGAACUGAUGAUAAUUACAAUCCUAAUGAGGCCUAUUAUCGUUAUCCAGUUUAUGAUAGAAGAAAAUCCAGUGCUUUGAAAAAGCACAGGAACUCUCGCUUUGAGACUGAAUCUUAUAGUAGUUAUUCAAAUUAUCCAAUGACUCAAGAAUCGAUGAAUUUUGAUAAUGUAGAUUAUGAAAAUAUCCCCCAACUUCUAAGACGAAGAAACGAUAUUAGUUCUAGUUAUUACGAUAAUAUUCCAAUUCGCGAGGAUUUAGUAACGAUUGCGAGAGACAAUCUUAACGUACCAAGGCAUCAAAGUAGAAAAUUAAUGAAAACACGCGCCAGAUCAACUCCAAUUCUCUAUUUUGAUCAAGAUUUUAUAACCGAUGAAAAACGCACUCAAAAAAUAUAUAAACGAAAACGCAACACUAGUUGUCCCGAGGCCUUUCGAACUUUUGAUAGUCCACCAACGAACGAUGACAGUCCCACUGAUCUUCUUUUUUAUGCCGACGAAAAUUUUGGAUCAAUGGACACUGUUAUUGAUCGAAACUAUAUUUCUAAAAGUGAUCAUAAAGAUAUAAACGAUAGAAAUAAAAUGACUCACAGAUACGAUAGGUAUCAAAGAGAUGAUAAAUAUCAAGACAAUCGAGAUAGAGAAAUAAUGCAAUCGCGUGACUACGAUAGAAUAGAAUUUGGUUAUCUCAAUCGAAAGAGCAGUUGUCCCGAGUGUCGUGAAAUGAUGUUAGCCGAGAAAUUAAAGGAAUCUUCUUCUUCUUCCUCCCAUGCUAAUCGUCAAGAUGUGCGAAGAAAUUCCGACGAGAUAAGACAUCGAUUACGAAGGCGUAACAGCAGUUGUCCCGAGGCACGUGAAUUGGAAUUCGUUGAUAAGAAGGGUAGUAAGAGAAAUGUGGCAAUAAGCGAUACCCUCGAGUACUAUGAGUACUCGAUGGAGAGCGAGAGUCAAUGUAGCGAGAACUGCGGCUUUGGCCCGUCUGAUCCACGUAGGCCCCGUAACCGAGCACCCCGCCCCGGUAACGCUAAUUCAAAUCUCUUUGAUUCCCAAACCGCUACCUCCGACACUGCUAAAAACCCACGGGCCACCGUCGACCAUCACGAAACUCCUACUACAUCACGAAACAACACGAAACCGCAACUCUUGGCCACGAACACGCCAACCGGCGGCGAUUCCUACGAACAACUACUACUACCUUCCGAAUCAUCGCGUCAACGCUCGCGGAAACAAUCGACGACUACGCACGACUACCACUACGACGAUCACCCUCACGACGAUGGAAAUAAUCGACGAUCGUCCUCUAUGCCCGAAAGCAGUGACUAUGCCAGCCAGAGUGGGUCCUACGAAAAAACAUCCAGGCAUCAAACACCCGAGAAUGAUCACAAUGGCCACAGCAAACGGGGUCAGUUCACCAGGAGCUUUAGUAAUACUGACGCACCAACGGACGAGAAAGUUGAUGGCAGCCUGAGUGACACAGCUGUAGGACUUCAUGUUGAAGAAUCGUCGAGAAGAAGUCGAAAGAGUUCACCAGGGAGUAAAAGUGGCAGCGGAAGUAGUGGUAGCGGCAGUGCCGUUCAGUAUCAAAGCGGUUUGGGGAAAAAGAGCAACAGCACGAGUCAAUUGUCUGCGACAGAAUGUGGAGUUGUGGGGACUGCCAUGGAUGCACGAUGUCCUGGAAUUAUGAAUCGCAAAAGGAACAGCACUCCAAGCAGUAUACAACGUUCUCAGGAGGUGGUACCAACCUAUCAACGCAUUGGUAAACCUGGAUCAAUGGCCAGCGAUACAGCUGGAAGUUUGAACUCAAUCUCAAGUUCUGAAGGAAGCUCUUGGUCUCCCAGUUUGCGUAUGGCAGGAGAAGGUGGACAGCUAAGUGACUUUAUCGAAGGAAUUGGUCCUGGACAACUUGUGGGACGACAGGUUCUUGGUGCACCAUCGCUUGGCGAAAUUCAACUUUCUCUAAGUUACACCAAAGGCUACUUGGAAGUCGAAGUUAUUCGAGCUCGAUAUUUGCAAGCAAAGCAGGGCAGCAAAGUUGUCCCAGCACCUUACGUAAAAGUCUACCUUGUCAAUGGAAAGAAAUGUAUAGCCAAAGCGAAAACAACAACUGUGAGAAAAACAUUAGAUCCUUUAUACCAACAACAUUUGCAAUUUAAGGAAAAUUUUCAAGGCUGCAUCUUACAAGUGACUGUAUGGGGAGAUUAUGGUCGAUUGGAAGGACGAAAAGUAUUCAUGGGAGUUGCUCAGAUCAUGCUGGAUGAUCUAAAUCUGAAUGAUAUGGUGAUCGGAUGGUAUAAGCUGUUCGGCACUACAUCCCUGGUCAGUGGACCACCUUCCCUUGGUUUGUCUCGUCGAUCAUCAGCAGCCUCUCUCGAUUCUUUAAAAUUCUAAAAACAUUACACACGAGCUCAAAAGAACUCUAUAUAAUAAAAUUUAUUCUCUACAUACCCAUUAGUUUUUGCCUUCUAUAUAAAUUACAAAAGCAUGCUUUGAGAUAUUUACAGUUUCUCAAAAAAAAGAAAAGAUAAAAAAAAACGAAAUCACAAAUUGAUUCAAUAAAGAACAAAUUUUACUAAUAAAAAAAAAACAAACACGACAUACAAUCAUUCUUAUAAAAUACAUUAGAACUUUUGGACAAUUCAAAUGUUGUCAACUUUAAUGUAGCCAUUAUAAUAUUCUUCCAGAUUGACACAAAUCAUUUAACAUAAUAAUAAUAAUUGUCAAUCACCUAAUGUUCGAUGCAAAUUUAAAUAUACAUAUAUUAUAACUGAUUUGAAAUUUACUCAAAAAAAAAAAAAAAAGAUAGAAAUGUAGACAAAGCGUUUAUGUCCUUUUGUCUGUAAGUCUAUAUUUUAUAUAUUUUACAAUGCUAUAUCUAAAUUUUCAACAAAGUAAACAAACAAAAAUUAAUAGGUUUUUAAAAAGAUAUUAAAAUUUUUAAUUAUUGAAAGAAAAAAAAAUAUAUAUAUAUAUAAAUUUAAAAAAUAUGGAAUGUUAGAAAAUUAUGAAAAAAAGAGAGAGAGAGGACUUGCUAAAAAUGUUUGACGAAAAGAAUGGAAGUUAAUGUUGGGGUAGUGACUAGAGUUUAAAAAUGGACGGGGGAGAAUGAAAGAGCGCACGAGAGAAUUGUUUUUCUAGAAACACCACUAGCACAUCACAAAUCACGUACAGCAUAUCGGAUGAACUACGUAUGUUGACUAUAGCUGUAGACGUAGCGGAUUUGUUCCCGGAGCGCAAGUUUUAGUGAACUGAAGGCAAUCAAAAAAGUGAAAACAAAUAUCGUGAAUUCAAGUGAGAUGUGAAAAAACAAAAUAUAAAGGAACGAUUUUUGAAAAUGGUUGUCCAUUGUGAUCGCUUCUUUUGUGUAAAAAUAUAUAAAAAAAAAUUUUUUUUUUUGGCUAUUGUCAAACAAUAUGUCCUAGCGACGAGCUGAACUGAAAAAAAACAAAUUGUGACCCUUACGAGAGCCACAAAGUCUGUUUAUGUAAUAUGUAUAUAUUUAAAAAAAAUUAUUAAUAUCGAUUAUAGGUACAAUUAAAAUCCGCGAAAAUCAAUUCGAAUUAUGUAUAUUGUAUAGAUAAAUUCGAGUGUUAAAAAAAUAUUUGUAUAUAACUUGUGACGUCGUGCAAAGACUUUUAAAAAAACUAGCAACUUGUAUGCAUGUAUUAAUUGGGAGUUGAAGUAAGAAAAAUAUUUCGAAAAAAAAUCUUCAAUAUAAUCCAUUGAAGACGUGUUAGUCGCAGUAUGUGUAACUACUGUAAAUAAUAUUGUGAUAAACUAAUUUCAAUGCGUCGCAUCGCGAGCUUAUUGUUUUAGCCGAGUGUGGCUUUUAAGCUACGUACAUCUUAUCAACGAAAUCACGUUUUUUCUUUCUUUUUUUCUACAAUUAAUAAUAAUUACAUUCAAUUUUAUUACGUGCCUACUCUGAAAAUUAUUAUUGUGUUAAUUAGUGUAGAGCUUUUUUUUUUGCAAUAUUAUAAUUAUAAUUACUCUACUCUACAGAAUGAAAAAUAUUGCCACUUAGUCAGAAAACUUCUCAUAAAGAAAAAAAAUCAUUAAGGGCAUGUGGUACAUUACUAUGAAACAAUUGUUAUAUUAUUU